CCUUCGAUAGCUCAGUUGGUAGAGCGGAGGACUGUAGAUCCUUAGGUCGCUGGUUCGAAUCCGGUUCGAAGCA
rnacentral:tRNA from 1 species